rnacentral:rRNA from 1 species
CCUACGGGAGGCAGCAGUGGGGAAUAUUGCACAAUGGGGGAAACCCUGAUGCAGCGACGCCGCGUGAGUGAAGAAGGAAUUCGUUAUGUAAAGCUCUAUCAGCAGGGAAGAAAAUGACGGUACCUGAGUAAGAAGCCCCGGCUAACUACGUGCCAGCAGCCGCGGUAAUACGUAGGGGGCAAGCGUUAUCCGGAUUUACUGGGUGUAAAGGGAGCGUAGACGGCAGGGCAAGUCUGGAGUGAAAGGCGGGGGCUCAACCCCCGGACUGCUCUGGAAACUGUAAGGCUGGAGUGCAGGAGAGGUAAGUGGAAUUCCCAGUGUAGCGGUGAAAUGCGUAGAUAUUAGGAGGAACACCAGUGGCGAAGGCGGCCUGCUGGGCUUUUACUGACGCUGAGGCUCGAAAGUGUGGGGAGCAAACAGGAUUAGAUACCCGAGUAGUC